AAAAAGUUUUAUUCUAGCUUAGAAAAUUAGUAUGUAAUUUAUUUAUAUGUAAAUUUUAGUGUUUAAAUAUUUUAUUUUAAAAAGGUAUAAUAUUAAAUUUUUUAUUUUCAGUAUAUAAUUUUAAAUAUUGCAGGCAUGUAUAUUUAGAAAUUUAUAAUAAUUUUAACAAAAUUUGUGCCAGCAGUUGCGGUUACACAAAUAAAAUAAUUAAUUUUUUUUGAUUUAUAAUUAAAUGAUUUAAGAUAAUAUAAUUUUUGAUUUAUUAGGUGAAAUUUUAAAUUUAAAUUUUUUAUAUUAAAUGUGUUGAAGUUAUUAAAUUUUAGUAAAAACUAGGAUUAGAUACCCUAUUAUUAAAAUGUAAAUUUUUUAAUUUAAUUAUUAAAAGUUAUAUUCUUUAAAGUUAAAGAUUUUGGCGGUAUUUUAGUCUUUUCAGAGGAACCUGUUCUAUAAUUGAUAUUCCACGAUUAGAAUUACUUAUUUUAAAAAUUUAUAUAUCGUCGUAAUUGAAAAUUUUAAAAGAAUUAUAAUUUUCAUGAUUUUUUAUAAUAAAGUAAAUCAGAUCAAGGUGUAGUUUAUAAAUAAGAAGAAAUGGGUUACAAUAAAUUUAUUAUUUGAAUUAUUAAUUUAAAAUUAAUAUGAAAAUGGAUUUGAAAGUAAUAUAUUAAAUUUAUUUUAUAUGAUUUAAGCUCUAAAAUAUGUACAUAUCGCCCGUCGCUCUCAUUUAAAUUGAGAUAAGUCGUAACAAAGUAAAUGUACUGGAAAGUGUAUUUAGAUUU
rnacentral:ncRNA from 1 species